rnacentral:rRNA from 1 species
CGCGUAGGCUGUUAUGUGUGUCAGAUGUGAAAUCCCAAGGCUUAACCUUGGAACUGCAUUUGAAACUGCAUGACUAGAGUGAGUAAGAGGCGGACGGAAUUCCGAGUGUAGCAGUGAAAUGCGCAGAUAUUCGGAGGAACAUCGGUGGCGAAGGCGGUUCGCUGGUACUCUACUGACGCUGAGGCGCGAAAGCGUGGGGAGCAAACA